rnacentral:rRNA from 1 species
UACAGAGGUCUCAAGCGUUGUUCGGAUUCAUUGGGCGUAAAGGGUGCGUAGGCGGCGCGGUAAGUCGGGUGUGAAAUCUUGGAGCUUAACUCCGAAACUGCAUUCGAUACUGCCGUGCUUGAGGACUGGAGAGGAGACUGGAAUUUACGGUGUAGCGGUGAAAUGCGUAGAUAUCGUAAGGAAGACCAGUGGCGAAGGCGGGUCUCUGGACAGUUCCUGACGCUGAGGCACGAAGACCAGGGGAGCAAACGGG